rnacentral:rRNA from 1 species
GAUGAACGCUAGCGGCAGGCUUAACACAUGCAAGUCGAGGGGUAUAGUAGCAAUACUAGAGACCGGCGCACGGGUGCGUAACGCGUAUGCAAUCUACCUUUUACAGAGGGAUAGCCCAGAGAAAUUUGGAUUAAUACCUCAUAGUAUAAUUGAAUGGCAUCAUUUAAUUAUUAAAGUCACAACGGUAAAAGAUGAGCAUGCGUCCCAUUAGCUUGUUGGUAAGGUAACGGCUUACCAAGGCUACGAUGGGUAGGGGUCCUGAGAGGGAGACUCCCCCACAC